rnacentral:rRNA from 1 species
AGAGUUUGAUCCUGGCUCAGAAUGAACGCUGGCGGCGCGCCUAAUACAUGCAAGUCGAGCGAGAAGACGUAGCAGUACGUUUGUAAAGCGGCGAACGGGUGAGGAAUACAUGGGUAACCUACCCUCGAGUGGGGAAUAACUAGCCGAAAGGUUAGCUAAUACCGCGUACGCUUCUUGGACUUCGGUUCAGGGAGGAAAGCGAUACCGUGGGUAUCGCGCUCUUGGAUGGGCUCAUGUCCUAUCAGCUUGUUGGUGAGGUAACGGCUCACCAAGGCUUCG